rnacentral:tRNA from 1 species
GAGGGUAUAGCUCAGUGGUAGAGUGCAUGCCUACUAUGCAUGAGGUCUUGGGCUCAAUCACCAGUACCUUCA